CACACACACACACACACACACACACACACACACACACACACACACACACACACACACACACACACACACACACACACACACACACAGACAGACACACAGAGUGUUAGAUGAUUCUACACUGUCAAGUGUCCAAUUCCAGACUGAAACGUACAAAGGCCUGAUGAAUCGGAUGUAAGAGCUAAUGGCUAAACACAUAAAGUGUGUGUGUGUGUGACAGAGAGGUUUCACGCCUUCCUUAAAUUAUUAAAUUUUUUAUUUUUAGCGAGUGAUUAAAGUGAAUCGGUCCAGUGGUUUAUCAGCCACGAGCGAAUCAAAUGUACUACAAGAAGGCUGAUAUGCUAACUGUGCUAAAACCAGACGCUAAAUGAAAUGAUUUUCAGGAAUUUCCUGGUGAAAUCUGGCACUAAAGCGUAAAUCCUAAAGAGCCUAAUAAUGUUCUUAAACUCCUGUAACAACACUACCAUGUUAAUGCUAACGCUACCAUAAUUGCUAAAAAUAAUAAGGGUUUAAGGGGAAGUAAGUUAACAAUAAACACUAAUGCUAUUGUAAACGCUGAAAUGUGCAGCAUAAUUAGGGACAGAGGGGAACACGCCGAUGCUAAUGCACUAACGUUAGCGCUGAUGUGCGAGAUAAUGAGCAAGCGAGCAAGAUGAAACACGCUGAUACUAAUGCUACAGGAAACACUCAGACACGGGAAAACAGGCCACGCUAAAGCUAACACACUUAACAUAUAAAUAAAUCGAGAGGAAACGUUGAUGCUAACAUACUUCUUAUUUUACAUGGUGUUAACGUUAGCUAGCAAGCUAGCAUAGGGUUCUGUGGGAUUUGGGAGAAAGUGUUAAACUUUUGCGUUUUCGUGUCGCUGUUUACUUUGAGAUGUAGAGAAUGUUUUUAAGUAAAGUGAAAUUGUGGCCUUGUUUUUAACUCAGGUUUCACUGCCUUACGUUCAUCGGCAUGUGCAAGGCUAAAAAGAAUUAAUUAAAACAUACGCAUGUUAAAUAAUAGUUUCCUAACUCUAGCUAGCACAUGCUAACAGGCUGCAACUGAACCUAGCUACAGUGUUUUAAAGUUACGUUAGCGAAUGUUACAAAUGAACGGAACAAAAAGGAUGUAAAGUUUUAUCAAAAUCGAAGUAUAAUAAAUUUAUAAUAAAGUAAAUCUAAGGCUUUGGUACACUGAAAUUGUGCUAAUUUUUAUGCUUCUAAUAUAAUUGUGCUUUAUAAAAUAAUUUAAACAGUAAACAUUUUUUUAUUAUAUCAAGUAGCAGAACUAAACUGAACUAAAACAUUUUUUUGAAGUACAAAAAAUUCCAUCCAAACUUUAUUAUUUAAAUAUAUCCUAUUUAAUGCUAAUUUAUCUUAGCAAAUGUUAUCUAUAGUUCAGUCGUAGUGUAAAUGUCUGCGGAGUUUUCUACAGGUGAUUAGCGCCCCCUAGAGCUGGACCUGUGCAGAUACUCAGCAGGUCCACAGACAGACAGCACUGAAGGUUGUUAGAGGUUUCUUUGGGCUUUGCCUCGUGUCUCUGCACGUUUUUUGUCGUUGGCGAGACGCAGCGGGAGACAUUUUAAUCAAACACUGAGACAAAAAACAUCUGUUUACCACAGGCACACAUCAGACGGAGAAACUGGCAAAUACAAAAGAAGACGAGCAACAUCUUUCUCUUACAGGGUCCACUCCAGGGAACUUCAUGAUGAUGAAACAGCUUAGAGAUGAAUCACCAAUCAGCUUAGAGAUGAAUCACCAAUCAGCUUAGAGAUGAAUCACCAAUCAGCUUAGAGAUGAGUCACCAAUCAGCUUAGAGAUGAAUCACCAAUCAUUUCAAAAUGGAAGCUGUGAGAAGAUGCCAGCACAUUUUGAUUUUGUCUACAAGCUUUUAGAAGUAAUGAGGACAUGAGACGCAACGCUAAUGUAGCUAAAACAACUAGCCUCUGCUUUGUAAAUUAACAAAGAAAAAUGCUAAAACACACCCGUUAUUAAGAGGUCAUGAGGUAACAUAUCGGUGUUGAUGCUAAUGCUCAGGAUAAUUAGUGCUCAAAAUGUCAUGCAGAAGGUGAAACAUGCUAAUGCUAACUUUUACCAUAGAUCACUAAAAGGAUGAAAUGACAAUAAUGCUAAAUUAAAAAAAAUAAUAAUAAGGCUAAUGCUAACAUCAAAAUCUGUGGGAAAUCAGUUAAAGCAUUAACACAGUCAAAAGACAGAGAGAGAGAAAUGUUCAAAGGAAGUUAAACACAACGAGUUGACAUUAAAGAGAGAAUUUCAGAGUGCA